rnacentral:SRP_RNA from 2 species
GCUGGGUGUGGCGGCGUGCACCUGUAGUCCCAGCUACUCGGGAGGCUGAGGUGGGAGGAUCAUUUGAACCCAGGAAGUCAAGGCUGCAGUGAGCCAUGAUUGAGCCAUUGCACCCCAGCCUGGGCAACAGAGAGAGACCCUGUCUCAA